AUGCGAGUCGAGCGAACAGAUAAGGAGCUUGCUCCUUUGACGUUAGCGGCGGACGGGUGAGUAACACGUGGGUAACCUACCUAUAAGACUGGGAUAACUUCGGGAAACCGGAGCUAAUACCGGAUAACAUUUGGAACCGCAUGGUUCUAAAGUGAAAGAUGGUUUUGCUAUCACUUAUAGAUGGACCCGCGCCGUAUUAGCUAGUUGGUAAGGUAACGGCUUACCAAGGCGACGAUACGUAGCCGACCUGAGAGGGGGAUCGGCCAAACUGGAACUGAGACACGGUCCAGACUCCUACGGGAGGCAGCAGUAGGGAAUCUUCCGCAAUGGGCGAAAGCCUGACGGAGCAACGCCGCGUGAGUGAUGAAGGGUUUCGGCUCGUAAAACUCUGUUAUUAGGGAAGAACAAACGUGUAAGUAACUGUGCACGUCUUGACGGUACCUAAUCAGAAAGCCACGGCUAACUACGUGCCAGCAGCCGCGGUAAUACGUAGGUGGCAAGCGUUAUCCGGAAUUAUUGGGCGUAAAGCGCGCGUAGGCGGUUUCUUAAGUCUGAUGUGAAAGCCCACGGCUCAACCGUGGAGGGUCAUUGGAAACUGGGAAACUUGAGUGCAGAAGAGGAAAGUGGAAUUCCAUGUGUAGCGGUGAAAUGCGCAGAGAUAUGGAGGAACACCAGUGGCGAAGGCGACUUUCUGGUCUGUAACUGACGCUGAUGUGCGAAAGCGUGGGGAUCAAACAGGAUUAGAUACCCUGGUAGUCCACGCCGUAAACGAUGAGUGCUAAGUGUUAGGGGGUUUCCGGCCCCUUAGUGCUGCAGCUACGCAUAAGCACUCGGCCUGGGGAGUACGACCGCAAGGUUGAAACCUCAAAGGGAAUUGACGGGG
rnacentral:rRNA from 1 species